rnacentral:rRNA from 1 species
GAUGAACGCUGGCGGCGUGCCUAAUACAUGCAAGUCGAACGAGUUCUCGUUGAUGAUUGGUGCUUGCACCGAGAUUCAACAUGGAACGAGUGGCGGACGGGUGAGUAACACGUGGGUAACCUGCCCUUAAGUGGGGGAUAACAUUUGGAAACAGAUGCUAAUACCGCAUAGAUCCAAGAACCGCAUGGUUCUUGGCUGAAAGAUGGCGUAAGCUAUCGCUUUUGGAUGGACCCGCGGCGUAUUAGCUAGUUGGUGAGGUAAUGGCUCACCAAGGCGAUGAUACGUAGCCGAACUGAGAGGUUGAUCGGCCACAUUGGGACUGAGACACGGCCCAAACUCCUACGGGAGGCAGCAGUAGGGAAUCUUCCACAAUGGACGCAAGUCUGAUGGAGCAACGCCGCGUGAGUGAAGAAGGCUUUCGGGUCGUAAAACUCUGUUGUUGGAGAAGAAUGGUCGGCAGAGUAACUGUUGUCGGCGUGACGGUAUCCAACCAGAAAGCCACGGCUAACUACGUGCCAGCAGCCGCGGUAAUACGUAGGUGGCAAGCGUUAUCCGGAUUUAUUGGGCGUAAAGCGAGCGCAGGCGGUUUUUUAAGUCUGAUGUGAAAGCCCUCGGCUUAACCGAGGAAGCGCAUCGGAAACUGGGAAACUUGAGUGCAGAAGAGGACAGUGGAACUCCAUGUGUAGCGGUGAAAUGCGUAGAUAUAUGGAAGAACACCAGUGGCGAAGGCGGCUGUCUGGUCUGUAACUGACGCUGAGGCUCGAAAGCAUGGGUAGCGAACAGGAUUAGAUACCCUGGUAGUCCAUGCCGUAAACGAUGAAUGCUAGGUGUUGGAGGGUUUCCGCCCUUCAGUGCCGCAGCUAACGCAUUAAGCAUUCCGCCUGGGGAGUACGACCGCAAGGUUGAAACUCAAAGGAAUUGACGGGGGCCCGCACAAGCGGUGGAGCAUGUGGUUUAAUUCGAAGCAACGCGAAGAACCUUACCAGGUCUUGACAUCUUUUGAUCACCUGAGAGAUCAGGCUUCCCCUUCGGGGGCAAAAUGACAGGUGGUGCAUGGUUGUCGUCAGCUCGUGUCGUGAGAUGUUGGGUUAAGUCCCGCAACGAGCGCAACCCUUAUGACUAGUUGCCAGCAUUUAGUUGGGCACUCUAGUAAGACUGCCGGUGACAAACCGGAGGAAGGUGGGGAUGACGUCAAAUCAUCAUGCCCCUUAUGACCUGGGCUACACACGUGCUACAAUGGAUGGUACAACGAGUUGCGAGACCGCGAGGUCAAGCUAAUCUCUUAAAGCCAUUCUCAGUUCGGACUGUAGGCUGCAACUCGCCUACACGAAGUCGGAAUCGCUAGUAAUCGCGGAUCAGCACGCCGCGGUGAAUACGUUCCCGGGCCUUGUACACACCGCCCGUCACACCAUGAGAGUUUGUAACACCCGAAGCCGGUGGCGUAACCCUUUUAGGGAGCGAGCCGUCUAAGGUGGGACAAAUGAUUAGGGUG